CGCAAGCCUGACGGAGCAAGACCGCGUGCGGGAUGACGGCCAAAUGGUUGUAAACCGCUUUUCUCUGGGAAGAUGAUGACGGUACCAGAGGAAUCAGCCUCGGCUAACUCCGUGCCAGCAGCCGCGGUAAUACGGAGGAGGCAAGCGUUAUCCGGAAUUAUUGGGCGUAAAGCGUCCGUAGGUGGUUAUUCAAGUCUGCUGUCAAAGCGUGGGGCUUAACUCCAUAGAGGCAGUGGAAACUGGAUGACUUGAGUGCGGUAGGGGUCGAGGGAAUUCCCAGUGUAGCGGUGAAAUGCGUAGAUAUUGGGAAGAACACCAGUGGCGAAAGCGCUCGACUGGGCCUGCACUGACACUGAGGGACGAAAGCUAGGGGAGCG
rnacentral:rRNA from 1 species